GCUUUGGUGAUUGAAUGGUGAGGACGUUCGUAUGGAAUAUGAGAGAUCCAGGUUCGAAUCCCGGCUGAGGUA
rnacentral:tRNA from 1 species